UACGUAGGGGGCAAGCGUUGUCCGGAAUCAUUGGGCGUAAAGCGAGCGUAGGCGGCCCGAUAAGUCUGCUGUAAAAGUCAACGGCUCAACCCUGGGAUGCGGGUGGAUACUGUCGGGCUCGAGUCCGGAAGAGGCGAGUGGAAUUCCUGGUGUAGCGGUGAAAUGCGCAGAUAUCAGGAGGAACACCAAUGGCGAAGGCAGCUCGCUGGGACGUGACUGACGCUGAGACGCGAAAGCGUGGGGAGCAAACAGG
rnacentral:rRNA from 1 species